rnacentral:rRNA from 1 species
GGAAAGAUGAAAAGAACUUUGAAAAGAGAGUUAAAUAGUAUGUGAAAUUGUUGAAAGGGAAACGAUUGAAGUCAGUCAUGCCGGUGGGAAUCAACUUAGGGGAAACUCUGAGUGCACUUCUUCACUUGGCAGGUCAACGUCGAUUUUGGAUGUCAUAAAAUGAUUGGGGGAAGGUAGCUCCUUCGGGAGUGUUAUAGCUCUUAGUAGGUGUGAUGUCUGGGAUCGAGGAUUGCAAUGGAUACCCUUUGGGGCUAGCCGCCUGUUCUCUAAUUGGUAUUGGGUUACGGAUAGCAUGCUAACCGUGAUCUAAUUAUUGGUUAAAAGAUUAGAGCGUGUUUAAAUUCAUUAAGGACAUUGACGUAAUGGCUUUAAACGACCCGUCUUGAAACACGGACCA